rnacentral:rRNA from 1 species
GACGAACGCUGGCGGCGUGCUUAACACAUGCCAGUCGAACGGGAUCCAAAGGCUUUUUGUUUUUGGUGAGAGUGGCGAACGGGUGAGUAACACGUGAGUAACCUGCCCCCUUCUUUUGGAUAACCGCAUGAAAGUGUGGCUAAUACAGGAUAUUCCAGGCUGGUCGCAUGAUUGGUUUGGGAAAUGGUUUGGUCUGGUGGGGGAUGGGCUCGCGGCCUAUCAGCUUGUUGGUGGGGUGAUGGCCUACCAAGGCGGUGACGGGUAGCCGGCCUGAGAGGGUGGGCGGUCACACUGGGACUGAGAUACGGCCCAGACUCCUACGGGAGGCAGCAGUGGGGGAUUUUGCACAAUGGGCGCAAGCCUGAUGCAGCGACGCCGCGUGAGGGAUGAAGGCCUUCGGGUUGUAAACCUCUUUCGCUGGGUUGAAAGGCCAUGCUUUGGGUGUGGUUGAUUUGAACUGGUAAAGAAGUACCGGCUAACUACGUG